CAGGUGUCAUCUGCGCAUUCACCUUCCCCGUGCUCUACCGGCGCCACCAGGCCCAGAUCGACCAGUACACGAGUCUGGUGAGGAGCCACCUGAGCCACCUGCGAGCCAGGGUCCUGGCCAAGCUCCCAAGUGCCAAAGUGAAGCCGCAGUGACAGUGACACCCCUGUCCCUGCCUGGCCCCCCUCCCGAGGUGACAGAGGGGGGGUGGCAUGGCCGGGGGUCCCCACACCCCUCCCCCCACUCGGGGGGUGCGUGUCGCCCCCCCCUCCCCCCAUUUUCCGUGUCUUUUCCCCCCCCCAGCGUGGGGGGGGGGUCACACU